rnacentral:rRNA from 1 species
UGCGUAGGCGGAUUAUUUAGUCAGUGGUGAAAUCCUGCGGCUUAACCGUAGAACUGCCAUUGAUACUGAUAAUCUUGAAUUUAGUUGAGGUAGGCGGAAUGUGUAAUGUAGCGGUGAAAUGCUUAGAUAUUACACAGAACACCAAUUGCGUAGGCAGCUUACUAAGCUAAUAUUGACGCUGAGGCACGAAAGCGUGGGGAGCGAACAGGAUUAGAUACCCUGGUAGUCC